rnacentral:rRNA from 1 species
UGGCGCGAUUGGAUGAGCCCACGUCGGACUAGCUAGUUGGCGGGUAAAGCCCACCAAGGCGACGAUCCGUAGCUGGUCUGAGAGGAUGAUCAGCCACACUGGAACUGAGACACGGUCCAGACUCCUACGGGAGGCAGCAGUAGGGAAUAUUGGACAAUGGGCGCAAGCCUGAUCCAGCCAUGCCGCGUGAGUGAAGAAGGCCCUCGGGUUGUAAAGCUCUUUUGUCCGGAAAGAAAAGCGCCGGGUUAAUACCCUGGUGUCCUGACGGUACCGGAAGAAUAAGCACCGGCUAACUUCGUG